ensembl:ncRNA K08A8.15 ncRNA
GGGAUGUUUCCAUAUGGGACUCGAGGACUCCUCAGAAACAUAUGUUCCGGUGCUCAAGUACUGGAUUGACAUACAAUUAAGUGUUUAAUCGUUUGGCACCCACUUUUAAAUAGGCCGCUUUUAUAAGGAACAAUGACAUACGGUAGAUG